ensembl:ncRNA lncRNA:CR46352 long non-coding RNA:CR46352
GCCGGUCUGGUCUGUCCUCCCUUUGGAGCUACCGCUCUCCUGGCCGGCGAUUGGGCCCAGUUAGGCGCAUGACUAACUCGCCGGCUCUACAACAACCAACUCGGCAACAACUAUAAAAACAAGCAAAACUACGACAUCGCAGCGCAGCUUGUCGUGUCAUCGGCGACGUUGUUGUCGUGCAACUGUAAGCAAAAAAGAUACAAGGCAAAAAACAGGCUUCACACGCGAGGGUGAAGUUAGAAUACUCUGGUGAAUACUUUAUAAAAUACUUUGGAAAACACGUCUGCUUAAAUUAAGACUGCAGCUAAAGAUGCACAACUAAUAAAACUUUAUUUUGUGAAGCUUGCGAAAACAGAAAAAUUCCUUUGACUCAU